rnacentral:rRNA from 1 species
GAUGAACGCUGGCGGCGUGCUUAACACAUGCAAGUCGAACGAUGAAGCUCAGCUUGCUGGGUGGAUUAGUGGCGAACGGGUGAGUAACACGUGAGUAACCUGCCCUUAACUCUGGGAUAAGCCUGGGAAACUAGGUCUAAUACCGGAUAGGAGCGCCUACCGCAUGGUGGGUGUUGGAAAGAUUUAUCGGUUUUGGAUGGACUCGCGGCCUAUCAGCUUGUUGGUGAGGUAAUGGCUCACCAAGGCGUCGACGGGUAGCCGGCCUGAGAGGGUGACCGGCCACACUGGGACUGAGACACGGCCCAGACUCCUACGGGAGGCAGCAGUGGGGAAUAUUGCACAAUGGGCGAAAGCCUGAUGCAGCGACGCCGCGUGAGGGAUGACGGCCUUCGGGUUGUAAACCUCUUUCAGUAGGGAAGAAGCGAAAGUGACGGUACCUGCAGAAGAAGCACCGGCUAACUACGUG